UUAGUGACGCGCAUGAAUGGAU
rnacentral:ncRNA from 4 species